rnacentral:sRNA from 1 species
ACUCACUUCCUUUCUUUCAGUGGCCUCCAGGAUGAUCUGGAAGGGUCACCCUGUCCAACGUGUCCGAGCGGAAAGACAACAUGCGCCUUGGCCUUAGUCUCGCCACCAACCCCAAGGACAACAGCUUCCUGGCCUGCAGCCCCCUCUGGUCUCACGAGUGUGGGAGCUCCUACUACACCACAGGGAUGUGUUCAAGAGUCAACUCCAACUUCAGGUUCUCCAAGACCGUGGCCCCAGCUCUCCAAAGGUGCCAGACCUACAUGGACAUCGUCAUCGUCCUGGAUGGCUCCAACAGCAUCUACCCCUGGGUGGAGGUUCAGCACUUCCUCAUCAACAUCCUGAAGAAGUUUUACAUUGGCCCAGGGCAGAUCCAGGUUGGAGUUGUGCAGUAUGGAGAAGAUGUGGUGCAUGAGUUUCACCUCAAUGACUACAGGUCUGUAAAAGAUGUGGUAGAAGCUGCCAGCCACAUUGAGCAGAGAGGAGGAACAGAGACCCGGACAGCAUUUGGCAUUGAAUUUGCACGCUCUGAGGCUUUCCAGAAGGGCGGAAGGAAAGGGGCCAAGAAGGUGAUGAUUGUCAUCACAGAUGGGGAGUCCCACGACAGCCCAGACCUGGAGAAGGUGAUCCAGCAAAGCGAGAGAGACAACGUAACAAGAUAUGCGGUGGCUGU